GACGAACGCUGGCGGCGUGCUUAACACAUGCAAGUCGAACGGAAAGGCCCUGCUUUUGUGGGGUGCUCGAGUGGCGAACGGGUGAGUAACACGUGAGUAACCUGCCCUUGACUUUGGGAUAACUUCAGGAAACUGGGGCUAAUACCGGAUAGGAGCUCCUGCUGCAUGGUGGGGGUUGGAAAGUUUCGGCGGUUGGGGAUGGACUCGCGGCUUAUCAGCUUGUUGGUGGGGUAGUGGCUUACCAAGGCUUUGACGGGUAGCCGGCCUGAGAGGGUGACCGGCCACAUUGGGACUGAGAUACGGCCCAGACUCAUACGGGAGGCAGCAGUGGGGAAUAUUGCACAAUGGGCGGAAGCCGGAUGCAGCAACGCCGCGUGCGGGAUGACGGCCUUCGGGUAGUAAACCGCUUUCGCCUGUGACGAAGCGUGAGUGACGGUAAUGGGUAAAGAAGCACCGGCUAACUACGU
rnacentral:rRNA from 1 species